GAUGAUGUACUUUGUCUAAUUUCAGCCACCAAACGCUCUCUGAUAAGGUCUCCAUCAGAGAAUGGCUUGCUGUUUUUUGUAAUUUUGUGCAAAUCACUGUACAGCUUUGUUGCUUUUAUUUAAAUGUGACUGCUAUUCCUUUUUUAAUUUACGUAUUUACAUGUGUGCAAAUUAAUUCAGCUUCACUGUAAAAACAUCUUUUGCUAGAUGUCAGUUCACAUUACAAAAAAGAUACAGAAUGAUGUCGAGUUUGUAAGAAGACAAACUUUUAAGUAUUUAUUUACUGAAGUCAGAGGUAAAGCUGUGCGCUUAGUUUGUGGUUUAAGGAUUACAGUUUGAAUCGCUAUUAUGAGACUAAAUACACAGAAAAGUACAAGAACUUGACUGAUAUUUCUUAGAUUUAUAUUGUACAUAUUAUUUCUUAAGACUAUUUACAUGAAUUUUCGGCACAGUCUCAGUCUUAUUUUCCUUUAACUUAUCUUAAAAAGAUUACCUACUAGCUCCCAUUAUAAGGGCCUCUCUAUGGUCCUUUGUUACUUUUACUUUAAAAAAUGUUAAUUUUAUUGUUCAUUAUACUAUUGACGAUUAUCUAUCUAUCCAUCUAUCUAUGAACCAUUGUUAGCUAAGCAGUCAAGACCAGCUUUGUGAUUUCCCGCAAAAUCACAAGAAACAACCCGUCUCUGACAGGGAAUAUUUUCAAAGAAUGCUUGGUGGACUCUACAUGCUAAUAUGCCCUGAAAACCCCCAAAAGUGUUUGAAUGUGCCCGUCUCCAGCAGAACCGUAACAAGACGAAUCGAGGAUGUUGAAAUGUGGAGUUUCACUUUUCACUUUUUCUCUUGUGGUGUCCGUGAAACAGCCCAGUUACUCGUUGCUGUACAUAGGAUAAUGACUUUGAGUUUGGCAGCUCAUACGACUGCAAGUGAAUCGUUGUCCCUUUUAUCGAGUGCAUGCUUGGAUAGGCUGGAGUGAAACAGGACAAAGUGGGAAUACUGAUUAAAUAGUGAGAAAUGUUGACGUUUUUACAAUGUCCAUUUCAUUUUCAUUGUUACAAUUAAUAUAUUACAACAAUUAUGGUUGUAAUAGAUGUUACAAUUAAAAUAUUUUCAUAUUUUAACUCUUCAUAAAGAGAUCAAAUUAAUACUGAGCAGAUUUGAGUUGGCUCUCCUCAGCAGUCCCAGUUACUCAUGGGGCCCUUUGGGAAAAUGAAUUGCCCGCCCCGAUCUCGCCUGUGUAACACCAUCAUGGUCUUAUCUCUCAUCUUAGAUAUGGCACCUGUUGGGAGGUGUGGACUCUCUUAAGUGGGAGUGUGGAAUCUUUUAGGCUCAGCGAUAGAAAAUGUGUCUAAAUUCCCAGGCUGACGCUCAGCUUCUGGCACCUCUGCUACGCUGGGAUUCAGCAUCUUUGACUAAACGGGACAUUACCGGCUAUGAACUGGCUGUCUUGUAUCUACUGGAGCAUAAGCACAAGGAUGCCUCCGUUAGGAGAUGUUUCCAUUUUAGUGCUGUAGUUGGACACAGAGCUCCAUCGGAUGGUGAUAGAUGUGGAAUCCAGCACAAACAGUUUGAACCAGUCAGGCCAUGAUUGAUCAGUACCCUCUGGGAUGUCAGGUGGAUCUUUCUCCUUCAACCAGAAGAUAAAAGCCUUAACGACUCUCUAGUCUUGUUGUACCUCCCAAUUGUGUGUUUGUGUGUGUGUCUCUCUGUGUGUCAGUGUUUUAUUAUUUCGCUGUGUUUGACCUUGAAGGGUCUGUGUGCAUUUGGGCUGUGAUGUCUCAAUGAUUUCUCUUUUAAGUGCCAAAAUGCGCCUUUUAUGCGCUUUUGAUGCUGCUAUACACACACUACAUAAAUGCCCCAUGAAGGAGGCCAUUUGCAUGAAAAUUUAGUUGAUUUAUGACUGGAUUCUAUAGCAUUUUCUAUAAUCACCCUGCACAUUUUUGCAGGGGCUUAGUAGUGGCCGUAGUGAUGCCACAGUACAGUGCUGUAACCCAACUUCAAAGACCGUUUUGUUCACACGCACCCUCACAAAAACACAGGGUGACUUCACUGGCUUGCAGUGGCAAAGGUGGACCAGCUGGGUUGUUUUGUUCUCCACUUGUGUUUUCCCCCCCUCCUCCUUUCUGUUUCCCCUCCUCUUCAUCUUCCCCAGUUCUUCUCCGAUCCUUUUUUUCUCCCAACAUUUGCUCCAAAGAUUUACACUUGGUGUUGUUGAUAGACUUAAAAAAAGAAGAAGAAGAAGAAGGAAAAAAAAAUCUGCAAGCGGGAUAGCCGGCGAUGCUGGUAAUUCAGGUCUGGUGUGUGGUAUUUCAAAGAGUUCGAGGCUGAUUGUCCUAUCGUGGCAAUGGAUCUGGCUUUUGGGAGCGGAGAUGCAUCAGAGGGGAUCACUCGGCAUCUGGCCCAACACUCUUGUGUCACUGUGACCCUCCUGUCGUGGAGGCAGUGAGGGCCGCAGUAGGGGGUCUCACUGAAAAGCAACAUAAAUUUCAGAGGGUGAAUCAAUAGACUGUGAGAAUUGUAAGAGAUGCAUUGGUUUGGACUCUCUGACUGUGACCCUGGUACUCUGCUAUAUGAAAGUGAGUGAGGACACGCCUGCAAUCUGCAACAACAACAAGGAAAAAUAACACAAAAGACAACAACAACAACAAUGUUUAUGACUGGCUAAGACUUCAUAUAUUUUUUAUGUGUUUUAAUUAUCACAGCAGCAACCAAUUCUGUAGGAAGGGAUAGCCUCAGCACAAAAAAGGGACGGGAAAAAAAAGUCUGUUACGUGGGGGAAACCUAUUCUCCCACAAGAUGUAUAAAUAGCCGCAGCCAUGGCUGUCUGUGUCAAAGUUAGGACACUCAGUGGGGUGCAGACUUCAAAGCAACCAGGGAAUUCUCCAAAACAACUGCUGGCAAUUUCAAAUCAGCAUUCCCUCUGAAAGCAGUGUAACCUUUCACCUGUAUUCUGGCAUGAGAAUAAAAUGUCAAAUUCAGAAUAUACAGUGCAGGGUGUGUUAUGAAAAAAAAAGAAAGAGGGAAAUCGUUUACUCAAAAGCUUCAAAUUAAGGCAGUUGUUUUAAUGCUAUAUUUUUAAAUAGCUUUGAUAAUUAGAUUUAUUAUAUGUCAGGUAUAAAAAGAAGAAACUGGACAGUGAACUAUUUUAGCAUUUUUUCAUCUUGAGAAACCACAAAAGCAGCUGAUGAGGCUUCAAAAGACUCCUCAUUUGGUACUUGGUGGGAAAUGAAAAUGACCCAGAAGGGUCAGAGGCCAAAACACAUGUCUAAAAUUUCCCCUGAAUAUUUUUAAAGAGGAAACAGAGCAGCAAAUCAUGUGUGUGUUGUAUUUGUUUUGGUCUUCAAACCAAAUAUCUGAAUUGUAAGCAUUGUAAGCAAAAAAGAGAGAGAGAGGGAGAAAGGGAGCGAGAAAGAUACCCUUAAGCCUUUUCAAUGAAGACAUGGGGUGAACAUGGUAUUGUGUCUUUGAUGGAGUCGGCCUGUGGUGCAUUGUGGGUAUUGGGGUGCUCUCUGGCCACAGCAGGAUACUGACAGCUCUGUCCAGUUUUCAGGUGCUGUCGCUUUCUCCUCAGUCAUAUUAAUUAUGGGAUAAAAAACUCUAAUCCCCGAGCCUUUGAAGCGCCAGGCCACUUUUCAAGGCCACACUUUGGAGCAGACCUACAGUAUCUCUCCUACACACACCAGCACAUAGGACACAAUAUAUACUACUUCAAAAUUUAAAAAGAUAGCAAAUGCUUCUUUCAUUCUGCUUUAGAAGCUCGUAGGGCUAUGAUUUAGUCAUUUUUUUCCCCCCUUCUCUCUUUUUUUUGCUGAUGACGAUCUUCAUGUGACAUUUUAUAGCUACUAAAACUCCAAGGAUUAUAGCUCAUUCUUUAUCAACGUGAUUAAACCUAUGCACCAUCUAAUUUUCUGCCGGGAUUACUUUGCUUUGCUGUUAGUCAUAAAGCAUUUGGCUUCUGCAACAUUUUCAAGCUACGACUACAGAUAAUAUCGACGUUUAAGUAGUUUUUUUUAACAGUAUCAACUAUUUAUGCCUCAUCUCCCUCAUCGCAGGUGGGUGCGUGACAGAGUGCAAAACUCACGCGCAAAAAAGCUAUGCUAUGAACAUUUCUUGAAAUUUACAUUUUUCCACUCAUUACCCGUAAUCUUCUUCUUACUAAUCUUCUCAAAGAAUAAUCUCUGCAUAGCGGAGGAGAUAUGAGGAUAUCUUAUUCCUUUUCCCUCUUCUAUUAAUUUGCUAAUACUGUUUGUUAUUAUGUCUGAAAACACAUUCAUGCAGAUGGAAAGUCCUCUCUUCAGAGAUCAAAGUGGAGUCCCUGCUGAACGGUUAUACAAGACUGUCACCCCUUUUUUCUUGCAGCAGAUCGUGGUCCGGCUCUCUCUCUGUAAUCAGAUCUCAGGCCGGUGCUUUAUAGGAGAAAACAGCCAUUGGAGAUUGGCAGCCUACAACAGGUUUUAUGGCUGUUGUUUCAGGUGGGAGGCAAGUUAGUCGGAUGGAUGACUGUCAGAGAGAUUUUACACUGCCCUCUUGUGCUCUGACACAUACUGUACUCCCUCUCCCCUGUUCACGCUGACUAAUUUUUACUGCUGUAUGUCCCCGCUGCUGAGACGGCACAGCAGCAAACAACAAAAGAGGCAACGCUGCAGUUAAAUAUUAUGUAAAUAUCCUUCAAAAAUCCUGAGGGAACAUGACUUGUUAUGAGUGCCUAUUUGUUUUUUUGAUGUGUGCAGUCAUAUGGUUCGCUUUUUUUUUCUUUUCUGGAAGCUGUAGGUUAUAAAACAUGAGGCAUAACUUCUGUGUAAGUGGCAUGCAUUCCUGGUUUUAAUACUCUGCCUGUGUGUGCCGUGAAUUCACCUACUUAGCCCUCAUACAAAGGGAUUAGGGCAUAUUGCGUUUGCACAACAGUUUUAAAGCUCUGCUUACAUUUAACAAUGCCGCUUGUGUAAGCAAUUGAUUUUUUUUUUCCUCUGUUGUUAUUUGGUCACAUGUAAAAAACAAAAAAACCCCAAAGGCUGACCUUUUACUUCAAAAGGUGUGGAUAUUUAAAAAAAUGUGAAAAAUGGGUUUUCAUUGUAUCCAAAGAAAAAUACUAUUUGGUAUAAAAAUAUAAGCUAGAGAAAGACACUUCUAUUAGAACUGAUUAAACAUGCUAGAUAUUCCGAGCUGCACUCUUCCAGCUCUGCCACAUGUCAAAAGGAUAGAGAAGAGGGUGAGGAGGAAUAAUUGUUUGAUCUGUCCUUUUGCCUGUCGCUGCCCUAAUCACUCAAGACUGAUUCAGAAAAUGCAGGCUUGAAUGUCAGAGGGCCUCCUGUGGAGAGGUGGAGCAUUUCACUGGCUUUGGACAGCCGUGCCCCAGUAAUCACCACUCUCAACCUGGCCGGGCACUCCAGCACUCCCCUGAUUGAGCACCUCAAUCUAACAAGGUGCUAUUGCUGCAGCCAGAGAUUCUGCCAGGUUUUGACAAACCAGUGGAUUGUCCCCCGAUCAUCAUGGGACAUUGCUUUUUCGCAGCUCAGCCGUGCAUGCUGCAGGCAGCCUCAGUCAGGCGCACCUGCCUGUGAACAGAACACGAGUGCUGCGCAGGAAAUUAAAAGGGAGCUUGGAGGUUACUCUCCUUAAAAAAAUCUGAUAAUUCCACACCAUUUGAAGGACACAUCAGCAGACAUCAACUUGUUUCAUGUCAUGUUGUGCUCUGGUGUCAUUUUGGGGACUAUAGCUUACAUUUCCCCUGAGAUUUGUCACUGCUAUCAUGCUUCCUCUGACCUUGUUUGAGUCUAUGACAUUAGGGCUUGCCCUGAGGGAAUAAGCAUCCCGAUCCUAACUAGAUAGCAUCAUGUUUACAAUUACCUUUAACCUUUCGUUUUUACCUCUGGAGACAUAACUGAUUAGGGUAACAAGCUGUAGUCCUUUUGUCUGCGACCUGUGAUAUUUUCCUGAUUAAAGCUAACUAAUGUUAAUUAGUUAUUUUUCCAUGUUCUUAAUCUGUGGAUUUGAGAAAUGUCUAUAUUUUUUCAUCACAAUUACCCAGAGCUGAAGAUUAUCUUUAUAUGAUAUCCUGAUGAUUUCAUUAUGUCUGACCACGAGUCCAAAAAUAUUCGCUUAUCAAAAUGAAAAAGGAGCAGGAGCUUUACUCAGCAAACAGUUGGGAAACACACUGUCUCCCUUUUUUGUUUAAAGAGAGACAGUGUGAGAGAAACUCUCAAUUGGAUAUCAAAAUAGCUGCAGAUUAAUGUUAUCUGAUUAAGACAAGGUGAUUAAUCAGUUACUCGUUUCAGCCCUAAUGACAACACUGAGUCUUGGACAGUGUUUUCAGUGACAUAUUCCUGCUUCUCUCAAAAUGAAUGCAAAUAAUAUUCUAUAGACCAAAAUAACUACAGGCAGAGCGAUAUAAAAACGAGCCCUGCCAUAUAGCAGCAGCCAGCAGACUGCUACUAAGCAUGUAUACAUAACAAAAUGUUCCCUACAAAGCGCAAAAAUCAGCCAGUUGCUCUCCACACUGAGUGUGUAGCACACCUCAUCACUACAACGUGACUAAUAUUAGCUUCUUGGUUCAUAGUAGAAAUGGUAAUUCAUAAAGAAUUCAUGUAUUUUACUUCAACAGUCUUGGACAGUCCAAUGAAUAUUUAUGCAAGUGAACAACUCUCAAAGCAACAGUAGAUGUAAAACUUCAAAUGACUGGUAACUGAUUUCACACUCCCAUGACUUUUGAGUUUCAGCAGUCAAAUGAGGUUUUGCCUAAAAAGAAAAUCUACCCUGGUCCUGAGAGAGGUCGCUGCUAUUACUCUAGAUGAGCACAGAAGUAAGAGAUCAGCAGGUUCAAUUUACAUUCAGAGUUUUGGUAUUUUAUUUCAAAUGUAAAGAAAGUGAAAUCCAUAUUUUAUAAAAGAAACUCAACAGAUUUAAAGCCUGUGCAGUUACAAUAGGACAGUUUAAGUUGUUCUUCCUGGAAAAAAAAAAUCUGUCUGCUUAAACGUUUAUUAUAUAGUCCUGCACAUAGUACUUUAAUACAUCAUAACACAUUUGUAAAAAAUAAAAAAAAAGAGUUCAUGCUUUUGAAGGUUUCAAAUGCAUUUGGAGUAAGUACCAGCUUUAGGACUUUAGGUAGUGCAUUCAGAAAUUAUGAUCAAUUGUAGUUUUUAUAAAGCUGAAUUUAAAGUGUCAUAAAAGUCCCCAUUCACUGGGAAAUAAUAGCCCUGUACAGCCUUGUGAGAGGUGAAAUUCAUUGUUGCCUUGCCUCCAGUUCUUUAACCUCUCAUCUGUUUUCAGCUUAAUAUAAUAUUGUUGAUUUAUCUGUGAUGUAUUCGGAGCUGCGGGCAUUUUUUCGGCUCCUAUUCUGAAAUGAAUAGAUGGUCUUCAAGGAUGUGGACGGGUGUUUCAUUAUUCUGGUUGCACUUGACUGUGAAUUGUGGCAAGAACAUGACAGUCACUCUAUCAACAGGAAUUAUGUACAGUUUCUCUCAGAGGCAUUUGUCAUACAGGACAGGCGGCAUUAUGAAAGACUCUUAACUCCUGUUAAAUCAGCACCUUGGACUUCUUGCUACAGGAGCCGAGGGAACACAGUCACUUGGUCUCCUGCGUUCCUAGUGGCAUUUUCAACACAGAUCCUCAUAACUUGAUGUUGAAAAGUUGAUUAAUAGUACAUUUAGCACAACUUACAGCCUUCUUCUCGGUAAUAAAUUAGGGUCAUUAAUCAAUAAAGAGCACGGCAAUUCUAGGAGACAGGGGACAUGCUGGUUUCUAAUAGAAAGGGAGAGGAGUGACGCUCAGGCCUUUCCCACCAUUGACCACCCUGGCUGAGGUGUUCAUUGUGCACCUGCCUAAAUCCAAUUAAAUGACAUAAUUAAUGAACAUCUUUUUCCAGCAAUAAAGGCCUUGUCACUACAAAAAUCAAUCGGCUUGCAGACUGCGAAACUCAGCUGGUCACUAUCACUUUCUAGAUGACAUAGAUUAAAAGUAAAGUAAUACUUUGGAUAUUUCUCUUAAAGUAGCAGAAGAAUUCCUCGCCAUAAAAGAAUCAGAUCUUCCUUAUCUUUAGAUGUUUAGCUGGAAAGUAAAUGUUUUAAAAGGCGCGCUGCUUAGUUGAUAGCAGCAGGGAUUUGAUGGCCGAUGCAGAUGGUAUUGAUUAGUAAAGAUUGGUCCAACAGUGGACCUGAAAAGAACUUUAUUAGAAGACAGGUGAAGUGCUUGAAUAGCAGAUGAAUGGCUCUCAGGUUUGCCUCGCUACCUACCUGCCUUGAGAAAGCACCUUCCCCAUCUAAUGCUGUCCAGAGCUGUCACAUUGCCUCGGCUUCAUUCAGCUUGAUUAAUGAUAAGCUGUGGGGCACAGCUAGAAGGUCUAGUCUCAAUUAUGAAAAAGGCAGUAACUAGUCCAUUGUGCUGAUGUCUUUAUUCCUCUGACAGUGCUGAAAAAUAGCAAUAUUUCUAAUCAGAGUUUAAUCAUUUAUCACUCAUUUAUUGGCUUUCUUUGAUUUCCAGCCUCAUCCAUCCAAACUUGAUCUAUCCUUUAAGCCAUGGAGCUUUGUGAUAUACGCCCUUCUCAUCCUUUAUCAGUCACUCCUGUGCAAAAAGUAUUUGUGUAAGUGUAAAUGUUUGCUCGCUAAUAAGAAAUAAAAUACUAGAGAGAUGGUUUUUGCAUUUCGGAAGCGUUUGCCAGUUACGAUUUCAUAUUUAAAAUAUAUUUACCAGAAAAGGAAAGAAUCAACUUUCCCUAUUUUAUCAUCAAAUUCACAAUGCCUAGAGUUUAUAGGGGAAGAUAAGUGAGUUUAAUAUGCACUGGAGGGUAAAGAAAAUAUUCUAUUACUGCAUGUAGCGCUGAAAUUACCCCAUAAAGAAACUAAUAUGGCAAUUUGGGGAGCAAUUUUUAAUAUGAUUUUUAUGAUGCACGGUUCUACUUAUGGUAAUGAAGUUGUCAUUGUACUUGUUCACUGCUGCUAAUGCAGAGACCAUCUUUCAAUUUGUACGAAUUAGACUAAACUGUUACGAAUGAACUUCAUUAAUGCCGGAAUGAGAAAAAACAUGUUAUUGCAUUUCUGGACCAGUGGCUCUGGGAUUGUGUGUUUUAUAUUGUUUUGAUCUAAUUUUGGAGUUUGAGAGAAAACACUCUCUUAGGUAUAUAGGACUGCUCUAAAAUACAAACAAACAGCAGGGGAUCGUUAUCCCAUUUUCAAAUGGAUACUAGACCAAAGUCUCAUUGAGAAGAGGAAUGAUGUGGUUUACGAUUGCUACAGAACUAACAGUUUAUCUGUUCUAAUCAUCGUACAUUUUGUGCCACAUCAACAUCAAUAUGAUAUAACAAGGUGUCGUUCUCAUUGUUUCUUAGAAAACUAAUUUAAUGCGGUAGAUUCGUGUCAUUUUAAAAAAAGACCAAGAUCAAACAAAUCCACACCCAUUCAGGAUCAGCAUUCACUUUAGUUAUCCAUGUGUUAUUCUUUUAUCGACCAAAUAAUAUCUGGUAUGCCAAGAAAUUGGUCUAUCCGUUUUCAGAAACUUAGUCAGUCAAUAUGAAUCUUAAAUGUUUCCUAUAAAAUAUUGCUAGCUGCAGGAAGCAACCAGUGCUUUUGAAUUGUUCUCCUCAACACAUAAAACAUGUAGUCGGCUGAUCCUUAUCGGACCUUGGCUUAAAAGCUUGAACUAAAUAACGGCACACGUAAAAUUAUUGCAAGUUUACAAAACCACAUUACGCUUCUUCUACUCAGCUUUUUAGUGGUAGUAUUUUGUAAGUCACUGCAAACUAAAGUCACUGGAAGUAAAAGCGUAAGUAGAAUAAUUACACCACAUUUUGAUUAGCAUGUCAAAGUCAUUAUGCAAUCACUCUACCCCCCUGUUGCUACCUCUGGACCUGCUGUAGAAAUCAAAUCCAUACAUGAAGUAAAAACGCAUGACUUUUCAGGAGUCUGUUUUCAUAUUCAUUUUCAUUAUAAAUUAUAAAACAGGACUGUCACGGUAGCCUCAGAAUGAGCACCUUGUUUUGGACACAGAAAUGUUCCCAAACAACAAAACUAAACUAAGUAAUCUUACUUUUGUCUGGUGAGUGGAAAAAUCAAUGUCCAGUGUCAAUACCAGGUGGAGUAAUUACCUGUUUGUCUUCAUUCAUUUCAAAGUGAACACUGAGCUUGGCUCAAUGAGUACAAUCCCUUAAUCUUAUUCUGUUCGCUGAUUGAGAAACCCGGAAACAUUCUAAUGUGAGUGGACAGAUGUUGGGAAUCAGGUUUGAUUCUUUUAAUUACUUUGUUCUUUACAGACACAGUUCUCCGCUGCUUUUUUUUUUUUUUUGCUUUAACAAAUAGAUAACAGCAAAUAUUCUGGCAGACAGCGGUGCAGUUCAUUAUUUUGUUAGAAAAUCAACAAUGGAUGAAAACUGUUGAUGACCAAGCAGUCAUAUUUAGCUCUCUGAGUGUUCUUCUUUUUACAUCAGUGUAGUCAGCUGGUCAGUUUUUACAGUUUGGCUGCAGUUUUGCUUAUACUUUCUUCACUCAAAUGUUCAGUCUUAAAACUGUGUUGUUUACCAUUUCAUCUUUGUGUAUCUUUGAACACUGUAUCUCAUUCGGUGGUUUACUAGGCAAUGAAAGUGUCCAUUUUUUGUAGUAACACAGAGUUUUAUUGUUGAUUUUGCUGUUUUUUAAAGUAAAAAAAAUACGUAAUUCAAGUUUUCUUUUUUGUAAGUUUUCUGUUGGGCAUGUGUUUAUCUUGUGUGUAUUUGGAUGUGUUCCUGUGACAUCACAGCACCUCCCAGUGCUCUCCAAAUAAAUCCCUGAGGCUCACAGUUCUACAAGUCUAAGAGAACGUUCUGGAUAGAUGAGACAAAAGGCAAGCUUUAAGGAAAAACAGGCUUCCCAAAACCAAAACCUCAAAAUGAAGCAUGGCAGCAGGAGCAUCAUGGUUUGGGUCUACAUUGGUGCCACAGUGCCUCAGGCUGUAUACCUGUGCCAUCUGGAAAUCAGAAUUUUCUUCUGUAUCAAUGUUGUAGAAAUUACGCUAUUAAAUUGGGACAAAUUACAAAUUAAAAAAAAAUUAGAGACACACCAAAACAAAAACUAAAAGGAAUUUAUCCUGUUCUGUUUGUUUACUUAUUAACAUUUUGUUCUACAUUGCACACACAAUUUAAUUGAAAGUUAGCUCCACUAAACUGGCCUUGCUUGGUCAUUAAUAGGUUUUUAACUAUUGUCUUCUGUCUGCAGCUUUUUUUUUUCUACAUUUCAUCUGUUUUUACAUCAACUGACUGUGUUUAUCAUCUUAAAGGCUAACACUAUCAAGGCCAAAGUCAAAAACUAGUAACAAAAGACCCCCAAACCUGAAGUGAUGCUCACUGUUUGAAGACUAAAAGCAAUAAGCUGACUACAGCCGUCAUUUUAUAUUGAAAACAGUGCCCAUUUCUACAGUGUACUCGUUUUUAUUUUUUUCUCUUCUAGAUAAUGUCCAAAGACUAAAAGAAAGACUUUGUCAUUUUUUUUAGGAUGGAGAAUUUGUUGUGAUAUUUGGGUACAAAAGCCAUAGAAGUAAUGUGUGAUACAAUAUAGUAAAGAGCCAUAGUAAAGUAAAGUCUAAAAUUCCACCAAAACUCUCUAUAACAAACUUUAAAAACCCCUCUUGAUCUAAAUCAUAUUAUUUUAAAAAAAAAAA